UACGAAGGGGGCUAGCGUUGUUCGGACUUACUGGGCGUAAAGCGCGCGCAGGCGGUCUACCAAGUCAGUGGUGAAAGCCCGGAGCUCAACUCCGGAAAUGCCAUUGAAACUGUUAGACUUGAGUACGAGAGAGGUGAGUGGAAUUCCCAGUGUAGAGGUGAAAUUCGUAGAUAUUGGGAAGAACACCGGUGGCGAAGGCGGCCUCCUGGCUUAAUACUGACGCUGAGGUGCGAAAGCGUGGGGAUCAAACAGG
rnacentral:rRNA from 1 species